rnacentral:rRNA from 1 species
AUUGAACGCUGGCGGCAGGCCUAACACAUGCAAGUCGAGCGGAUGAAGGGAGCUUGCUCCUGGAUUCAGCGGCGGACGGGUGAGUAAUGCUUAGGAAUCUGCCUGGUAGUGGGGGAUAACGUCCGGAAACGGGCGCUAAUACCGCAUCCGUCCUGAGGGAGAAAGUGGGGGAUCUUCGGACCCCACGCUAUCAGAUGAGCCUAGGUCGGAUUAGCUAGUUGGUGGGGUAAAGGCCUACCAAGGCGACGAUCCGUAACUGGUCUGAGAGGAUGAUCAGUCACACUGGAACUGAGACACGGUCCAGACUCCUACGGGAGGCAGCAGUGGGGAAUAUUGGACAAUGGGCGAAAGCCUGAUCCAGCCAUGCCGCGUGUGUGAAGAAGGUCUUCGGAUUGUAAAGCACUUUAAGUUGGGAGGAAGGGCAGUAAGUUAAUACCUUGCUGUUUUGACGUUACCAACAGAAUAAGCACCGGCUAACUUCGUG